UUUUAGGAAUUUUCUGGGGAUUUUCGGAGCUCGUACGGAGGGUUUUGAGGGGUUGAUCGGUGGGUACGGAUAAAGCCUAUUAGGGAUACCCAUUUAAGUGAGGAAAAGUGUUUAAUAUAAAUUCUUUUCCUUUAUUAAUUCGUUCCCCAACCCAUCGCCGAUCCCGAUCCUUUUUCCCUUCUUCCUCUCGUUCUCUCUCGCGGACGAACCGAAGCCGGCGAACCUUCGGCAAUCGUGGUCGUCGCCUGAGGAGUACAUCGCCGGAGAUCGAACCAGGAGGCUUGGAUCAUCUAGAUCUCUUCUAAACCCUUCCCGAGCCCUUCUCCCUGCGCGUGCCGACCCUUUUAUUCUCCGAUCGACGCCGCUGGAUCAAGCCAGAUCCACUGAUUUGCCGGCAGGAAGAGGCGUUUAGGGCUCCGAGGGUAAGGUUAGGUGGUUGAUUUGAUCGGUGUUUGGAUUGGUGAUCUUUUUGCUUGAUUCAUUGAUUGAGCCGAUUGAUCCAGUGAGAUAGGUUCUGUGAAGGUGAUCUUGGGUCUCCUCUUCCUUGUUGCUAAUUUAGGUUUCGGUUGAUGAUGAUGGGAUCAAUUGAGUUGUUGGGCAGAGGAUUGAAGGGUUGAUUGAUGUCUUGGAUUGCUUGAUUUGAGAUCAGUGAUCUGCUUGUUGACCUCUUCUCUUGAUCCGAUCAGUGAGGUGAGUUCUGUUGCUGUGAGGCUGGGAUUGUGAUCUUUGAGGUAUAUCCAGCAGCUUUCCCUAACCGGCAGCAACCCUUUGGUUGUGAUCUAUUGGUGAUCACCUUGGAUUCGAGGAGUCUGAUUUGAGACAGGCGUCUCGACGUUGACUUCGGAUUUGGAUUGUACCUUCUAUUUGAGGCGGGUACCCUUUGACUUAUCUUGUUGAUAUUGUCUUGUGAUAUGUGCAGUUUAUAUAUGUUUACUAGUAAUUGGUAGAUCUUUCUCUUCUCUGGUUAUAGUUUAUUCUAUACCUGUAGGCGAUUAUUAGCGAUUGGUAGUUAGCAUAUUCCCUGGUUUAGUUAUUUGAUACUUGAUACAUGUUGCUACGAUUAGCAUCUAUACCUUAGUCUAGCAUGUUUUUCUUUCUUGCUAUGCUUAUCUGUGUUCAUAGAGAUGCAUAUCUAUAGUGCUCUACUCUACUGGAUUAGUUGCUUUACAUGUGUGAUACAUGCUCUUGGAUUCAUGAUACU